rnacentral:tRNA from 1 species
GAGGGUAUAGCUCAGUGGUAGAGUACAUGCUCGGCAUGCACGCGGCCCUGGGUUCAAUCUCCAGUACCUUCA